GUGGAAUACGAUUCGUAAGCGUUUAAAGAUUAACAGUUUUAUAUCACAACCAAUGACAUUUAUCGGAAUAAACAAUUAGUAUUGAGACAGUGACCGCUAAAUGUGCGUCUUUUACGGAUCGUAAAUCGUCGUUGAAUUGUCAUAUACAGAGGACGUAGACAUAUCCUAAUUGAUAUAAUACCAUAAUCAAUUACGACCGAAUAGAUCAAGAAAGAAGUAAUUAAGUUUCGUGUAGGAAGAAGUUGGACAGUAUUUCAUUAUUAUAAUGACGCUAUUACUUCGAUACAUUCUAUUCGCUUCACUCUGCGGUAUUAUAACAGGAAAUGUUAUAUCAAGGUUACAGAGUAAUCAUACCAUGUAUAUGGACGAUGAAUAUAAACCCCAAAAAUCAGAAAAUUCAACAAGUCCAACACCAUCAACAACAACAAAAGUGUUUAUUGAAAUUGUAAAGCAUAUUGGUUAUUUU